CACCUGCCUCAGCCUCCCAAAGUGCUGAGAUUAUAGGCAUGAGCCACUGUGCCGGUGACUUACCUCUAACCAACAGAAUAGAGCAACAGUGAGAGGAUGUCAAUUCUGUGGUAGGUUGCAAAAACUUGUAAGUUCCUAGCAGUCUUUCUCAUUGGUUUCAAUAUAAAAAAGCUGCUGUGCUGGAGGGACCCAUGAGGCAAAGAACUGAGAGCAGCCUUUAGAUAACAGCCAGCAAGGAAUGAGGUGCUCAGUCCAGCAACCACAGAGAAACUGCAUCCUGCUGAUGAUCAUGAGGUUAAGCGUGGAAGCAGAUUCUGUCCCAGAUGGACUUUGAUUGUGUCUUGUUAGAGACGCCUUGAUUGCACCUGUGAGAGGCCCUGACGCGGAGGACCCAGCUAAGGUAUGUGCAGAGCAGUGAAAAAUUUGGCCUGAGAUACACGCUCCCUGCUAAGGUCACACAAGGAACAGGGACAAGGUUAAAUUCUCCACAACUCAAACCAAAUUAGAAGCUCCCUGUUGGAUGACCAAGUUCUCUCUGAAAGUUUGUUGGUGACCACAGUUUAUUCCCUGAAACUGACUUGGCCGCUAAUUCACUCUGUUCUCUUAGGUGAGUAGUUUUGUCUUUCAUUAAAUCGGAGGUGGUACACCCAUCUAGCAUGAAGAUCACCUCUUUCUGAUUUAAAAACCAUUGCCCUGGAGCUAUACUGCCAAGGUCCAAAUUCCAGCUCCGGGCCAUUUUUACAGCUGUAAAACAGUGGACUGGCCAGAUCGUCUCUCUAUGCCUCUCUUUCCUCAUCUGUGAAAUGUACCUCAUAAACUUAUUCUGAGGAUUAAAAUCAGACACUGCGUGUGAAGCUUUUUACAGUCUGGAACGUGGUAAGAACUCACUACACGUCCAAUUUCUACUUCUCACAGGAUGGUAAUCCUCCAAAUAGAUCAUUCCUACAGUCUCAUCCAGGCUCAAAUUCCUCCUGGACGUUGCAAAACAAGCACAUUUUCUCUCCAUCCACCAAAGUAUUAAAUGGAAGUUCCAACUUCCACUAAUUAAAAUAGAGAUGAUGUCAUUCAGAAAGCAGAACUGCAUUCCUCUUGCCCAAAUGUUCUUACAUCUGGUCCUAAUCAUUUUCUUCUCAUUUUUGGAUUGGAAAAAUAGAAUGCCAUGUCCAUAGGUUGUCCUUUAGAAAUUUAAGGGGUGAUUGUGAAUGAAAUGGUGUGAAGCUGGCAAAUCUGCUUCAAGUUUCUGAUGUCAGGAAUGGAGCACAGGAAAGCUGAACAUCUAAACAGG